rnacentral:rRNA from 1 species
UGGGGAAUAUUGGACAAUGGGCGCAAGCCUGAUCCAGCCAUGCCGCGUGAGUGAUGAAGGCCCUAGGGUUGUAAAGCUCUUUCAGCGAGGGAGGAUAAUGACGUUACUCGCAGAAGAAGCCCCGGCUAACUUCGUGCCAGCAGCCGCGGUAAUACGAAGGGGGCUAGCGUUGUUCGGAAUCACUGGGCGUAAAGCGCACGUAGGCGGACUUUUAAGUCAGGGGUGAAAUCCCGGGGCUCAACCUCGGAACUGCCUUUGAUACUGGAAGUCUGGAGUCCGAGAGAGGUGAGUGGAACUCCGAGUGUAGAGGUGAAAUUCGUAGAUAUUCGGAAGAACACCAGUGGCGAAGGCGGCUCACUGGCUCGGUACUGACGCUGAGGUGCGAAAGCGUGGGGGAGCAAACAGGAUUAGAUACCCUGGUAGUCCACGCCGUAAACGAUGGAAGCUAGCUGUCAGGGUGCAUGCAUCUUGGUGGCGCAGUUAACGCAUUAAGCUUCCCGCCUGGGGAGUACGGUCGCAAGAUUAAAAA